rnacentral:tRNA from 1 species
AGGGCGUUAGUAAAGUAAUUACAUGGGCUUGUCAAGACCAAAUCACGGGUAAAACCCCCGUACGCCCUA